rnacentral:rRNA from 1 species
CGCGAGAAGUCCACUAAACCUUAUCAUUUAGAGGAAGGAGAAGUCGUAACAAGGUUUCCGUAGGUGAACCUGCGGAAGGAUCAUUGUCGAUACCUGUCCAAAACAGAACGACCCGCGAACUAAUAAUCACCACUCGCAGUGGGCUGGUUUCUUAGUUGAUCCCAUGCCCGCUGGAUCUGUGGCUUCGCGAACUGUCCUGGCCGAGAGAAUUAUCUCGGUUUGGUUUUGCGCGUUGCUUCCGGAUAUCACCAAACCCCGGCACGAAUAGUGUCAAGGAACAUGCAACUGAACGGUCAGCAUUUGCCUCCCUGGAGACAGAGUGAGUGCGAAUGUUGAGCUGUUUUCUAAAGUCUAAAACGACUCUCGGCAACGGAUAUCUCGGCUCUCGCAUCGAUGAAGAACGUAGCGAAAUGCGAUACUUGGUGUGAAUUGCAGAAUCCCGUGAACCAUCGAGUCUUUGAACGCAAGUUGCGCCCCAAGCCUUUUGGUCGAGGGCACGUCUGCCUGGGUGUCACAAAACGUCGUCCCCCCCUCAUCAUUUGCGGGUCRGGGACGGAAGCUGGUCUCCCGUGUGUUACCGCACGCGGUUGGCAAAAAUCUAAGCCAAGGACGCUCGGAGCGUUCCGACAUGCGGUGGUGAACUCUUGUCCACUUUCAUAUCGUCGGGCGUUCCAGUCUAAAAGCUGCA